GGAUCUCUUGGCUCUCGCAUCGAUGAAGAACGCAGCGAAAUGCGAUAAGUAAUGUGAAUUGCAGAAUUCAGUGAAUCAUCGAAUCUUUGAACGCACCUUGCGCCCCUUGGUAUUCCGAGGGGCAUGCCUGUUUGAGUGUCAUUAAAUUCUCAAA
rnacentral:rRNA from 1 species